GAAAAUAGCAGAAAGGAUUAGAAAAGAAAAAUUAUAUUAUCGUCAAGAGAGAUGAUGGUCUAAAAAUCAUGCUCAACAGGAUUGUGCUGAAGCACAAGGGAAUUGGUCAUCCAGGGGCAGGAGGAUGCAAUCUUCCUGUCCCUUCCAGAGCCCUUGGAUGUGGGUGUGGAUGCACCCUAUCCUUCUAGGAAAGCAUGUGAGACUCUACCUUGUCUAGGGGCUUCCAUGUGGAAAAGGCAUGGUCCUGUCUUUGGCUUUCUUUCCUGAUUCCUAGUUCCACAACCCGCCCGGAGGGCUUAGGCGGGGCCUUCUUAGCCCUUUCUCUUCAAAUUGUGUCUUUCAGUCAGACUUUCUGGCAAGGGCCUCGCCACAGCCUGAAUGUUUCGAGGUGAGUGGCUCUCUUUGGUCCUUGACACAGGCCCCAAAGGACAUUGGAUUAUGUGGGAUGCCCAACUAAAAGCAGUCAAGAGAGAGGAGUCCUUUCAGGAACCUCAGUUGUCCCAAAGGGGGAUUUCUGCUGUGGCACCACAACUAAGGGCUACGAUCUUAGGAAAUGAAAAACCUUUCAUUAGACCUGAAUUCUAAUCAGAUUGCACAUGGAAGAAAUGUUUCCUUCCCUGGGCCCCUGAGGAGCACACCUCAAAGCAGAGUACUCUGAUCAACUGAGGGGACAGUCAUUUGUGGUGUAUAUUUUGCAGUCUCCAAAGAACCAUCGGUAGAGAAGAAUCAUGCCCCAAGACAGGAGAUGGUGAGAGGCAGGCAAGAACCCAUCCACCAGGUCUUGGCAUGUAGACGCUGCUGGCUAUUGAGAGAGCUGAAGGGCGGCCCCUGGGUUUAAUGGGACUUGGGCCGGUAACUUUCAGGGAUGGUGGGGUCUCGGUGAGGUUCAUUGUUCCUGAUACUCUCUCUGGUGGAUUUCGCUUCAACAACUAGCAGCCAUUGCAUCUCCUGUGGAGUUCUUCCAGUAGGGGAGACACUGCCGUCAAAGACAGCACCCUCAAGAGGAGAAACCCCUUUUGAGUGUGCCUACCUAGUAAGGUUGUUGAGAGCCCUUCUGAGCCCUGGUAUCAUCUCCAUUGUGAGGCCCUGUUGCCCGAAGUGGAGGGGGACCUAAUGAUGUGGGCCAAGGAGGGAGUAGUUGCACUGCUGUUCUUUGGGGGCCUUCGAUGGUCCAUAAAACGGGCUGCUGCACCAAAAGAUGAUGGCUCUUAUUCCCGGCCUGAACGUUCACAUGCAGGGCUUUGCCAGGUUGACUAGUGCUCAGCCCAUGGGCCCAUCUCCAAAUAAUUGCUUCUUCAAGCAUCCAUUCCAUGGGAAUUCAUGGCCUCGUUUUCUGUGUUUUGGCAGGCAAGUGGCCAAGCCGAAUGUCCCAUUGACCGCCCCAUGCUUGCAUGGGCCAGAAUCGAGCCCAAAGGAACGUCUCUGUUCCCCAGCACACGUCCAGAGAGUUUUGGUGGCCAAGAAGCCAUGGCAACAGGCCUUCUGAUGGGAGCAGACAACGUCCCCAGGAGAAGGAAGAUAUGAGUUUGGACUGCUGCCUAUGGUGAAAUCAAUGUCAGCCUUGGUCCAACACCUGGAAGAGAUAGAAAGUCACGUCUUUUUGAGCAUCCUCAUUUCCAGAAAGCAUCUGAGCCAGAUAACAUCCCCAGGGGAAGAAAGAUCUGAGUUAGGCCUGCUGCGUAUGGAGCAAGGGUUGUCUGCAUUGGUCCAGCACCUGGAAGAGACAGAAACUCACAUCAUUUGGGACAUCCUCAUUUUCAGAAAGCUUCGGAGUUAGAUGUUCUGGCAAGGGCCUCACCACGGCCUGAAUGAUUCGAGUCUCAAAAGGACCAUUGGUAGGGAAGAACUGAGCCCCAGGACAGGAGAAAUUGAGAGGCAGGCAAGUGACUAAGUCCAAUGUCCUAUCGGCCACCCCAUGCUUGCACAGACCACCAUCGAGCCUGGAGGAACAUGUCCAUUCUGCAAGACAUGUCUGUAGAGUUUUGCUGGCCAAGAAGCCCUCACCCCAGGACUUCUGAUGAAAGGAGAGGCAAUGAUGCUCUGCCUUCACCUGGGAGUCUUCAGGGAUUCAUCUGUUCUUCCUUCCCGGAAACAUUAGUUUAGUACCUAUUCAUGCACAGAUCCAACUGUCCACUGGUUCCUUUAUGUUUCUAAGUCUGGAUGGAAGGAAGGAGAGAGAAAAGUAAGAAUUGGAAGCCAGAUAACAUCCCCAGGGGAAGAAAGAUCUGAGUUUGAGCUGCUGCCUAUGGAGCAACUGAUGUCAGACUUGUUCCAGCACCUGGAAGAGACAGAAAGUCACGUCCUUUUGGGCAUCCACAUCUCCAGAGAGCAUCUGAGCCAAAGUCCCCAUGGGAAGGAAGAUCUGAGUUUGGUCCACUGCCCAUGGAGCAAGUGAUGUCAGCCUUUGUCCACCACCUGUAAGAAACAGAAACUCAGUUCCUUUUGGGCAUCCUCAUUUCCAGAAAGCAUGUGAGCUAGACAACUCCUCAGAGGAAUUCAGUUCCUUGUUUGGCCUGCUUCCCAUGGGUCAAUCAAUGUCAGCCUUGGUCCAGCACCUGGAAGAGACAGAUACCCACUUCCUUUUGGGCACCCUCAUUUCCAGAAAGCAUCUGAGUUAAACACUAUUUAGUAAGAUGACUUUUUGGACAUUGUUUUUGACUGUACUUUUACCAUCAGAUCUUCCUGCAUUCAAUCUGGUCACUUGUACACCAAAAUUAAAGCUUUCCAUUCUGGGUCAAAAACUAGAACAAGUUACUGUUCUUUCAAGUGAACAAGUUAUUUUCAGGGAAGAAAAGUGAGCAGCUACUCUGAAGGACUGGAAUCAGGUCUUCCAAUUCAGAGGACAGGGG